rnacentral:rRNA from 1 species
UGAUGUAACGCAUCUAAUACUAAGUUCAACAACGGAUC